rnacentral:rRNA from 1 species
CCUACGGGUGGCAGCAGUGGGGAAUAUUGCACAAUGGGGGAAACCCUGAUGCAGCGACGCCGCGUGAGUGAAGAAGUAUCUCGGUACGUAAAGCUCUAUCAGUAGGGGAGUUAAUGACGGCACCUGACCAAGAAGCCCCGGCUAACUACGUGCCAGCAGCCGCGGUAAUACGGAGGGGGCAAGCGUUAUCCGGAUUUACUGGGUGUAAAGGGAGCGUAGACGGGUGGACAAGUCUGGAGUGAAAUCCUGGGGCUUAACCCCGGAACUGCUAUGGAAACUGUGAGGCUGGAGUGCAGGAGGGGUAGGCGGAAUGCGUGGUGUAGCGGUGAAAUGCGUAGAUAUUAGGAAGAACACCGAUGGCGAAGGCAGCUUACUGAACUGUCACUGACGUUGAGGCUCGAAAGCGUGGGGAGCAAACAGGAUUAGAUACCCUUGUAGUC